CGGCGGACGGGUGAGUAACGCGUGGGUGACCUGCCCCAUACCGGGGGAUAACAGCUGGAAACGGCUGCUAAUACCGCAUAAGCGCACAGAGCUGCAUGGCUCGGUGUGAAAAACUCCGGUGGUAUGGGAUGGGCCCGCGUCUGAUUAGGCAGUUGGCGGGGUAACGGCCCACCAAACCGACGAUCAGUAGCCGGCCUGAGAGGGUGACCGGCCACAUUGGGACUGAGACACGGCCCAA
rnacentral:rRNA from 1 species